rnacentral:rRNA from 1 species
ACCCGCUGAACUUAAGCAUAUCAAUAAGCGGAGGAAAAGAAACUAACAAGGAUUCCCCUAGUAACGGCGAGUGAAGCGGGAAUAGCUCAAAUUUGAAAUCUCACAGGUUCCCUGUGCGAAUUGUAGUUUAAAGAAGUAUUUUCGGAGGCGCACCAAGUCCAAGUCCUUUGGAACGAGGCAUCAUAGAGGGUGAGAAUCCCGUCUUUGAUUUGGCUUGCGCUUUCUUGUGAUAUACUUUCAAAGAGUCGGGUUGUUUGGGAAUGCAGCCCAAAAUGGGUGGUAUAUAUCAUCUAAAGCUAAAUAUUGGCGAGAGACCGAUAGCGAACAAGUACCGUGAGGGAAAGAUGAAAAGAACUUUGAAAAGAGAGUUAAAUAGUACGUGAAAUUGUCAAAAGGGAAACGUUUAAAACCAGUCUUGUUUCCAAGAUCUCAACUCAUUUAACGGUGAGCCCAUGUUCUUGGCAGCAGGUCAACAUCGGUUCAGUUUGAAGUAUAAAGCUUGUUGAAGGUGGCGUACUUGUACGUGUUAUAGCUUCAAGUCAUGCUUUGGACUGGACCGAGGAAUGCAGUGCAGUCUUGCGGACCCGUUCACGGAUUGAUGCCAUGGGCCAAACUACUUGUAGAUUUGUUUAUGGAUAAGGUCCUCUGGGCGGUUUACGACACCUGUGCUUAGGAUGUUGACAUAAUGGUUUUAAGCGACCCGUCUUGAAACACGG